rnacentral:rRNA from 1 species
GAUGAACGCUGGCGGCGUGCCUAAUACAUGCAAGUCGAGCGAACGGACGAGAAGCUUGCUUCUCUGAUGUUAGCGGAGGACGUGUGAGUAACACGUGGAUAACCUCCUUAUAAGACUGGGAUCACCUCGGGACACCGGAGCUAAUACCGGAUAAUAUUUUGAACCGCAUGGUUCAAUAGUGAAAGACGGUCUUGCUGUCACUUCUAGAUGGAUCCGCGCUGCAUUAGCUGGUUGGUAAGUUAACAGCUUACCAAGGCAACGAUGCCUAGCCGACGUGAUAGACUGAUCGCCGACACUGGAGCGUAGACGGGGUCCAUAGUCCUGCGGGAGGCAGCAGAAGGGAAUCUGCCGCAAUGGUGGAAAGCCUGACGGAGCAACGGCGCGUGAGUGAUGACGGUGUUCGGAUCGUGAAACUCUGUUAUGAGGGAAAAACAGAUGUGUAAGGAAAUGUGCACAGCGUGACGGUACCUAAUCAGAAAGCCACGGCUAACUACGUG